UUUCAGAAAUCAGUGCUGCUGUGAAUUGGAUUUCCCUGCCUUGGAUGGAAGAUAUAAUUUCGAGAGAGGAUGAGUUCUACUUGACAGCUAUAAUUAUCCCAAUUUCUGGAUUCAGUGAUUUCUCAUUCAGUCCUUCACCUGCCUGCACCCAGACUUGCGACUGAGCAGCAACGUGCAUGUCCUGGAAGCUCGAGACCGUGAUCUUGGUGCCACAGAGUCGUACGGCUUCUCGGACGCGAUGAAACAACGACCUAAGGGAGAGCAGCACCGGAGCGCGCUUGCCUGCACGGGGUUGGUCUCCCGCGAGGACGGCAAGAGUUCCCUGCUGGGCUGACACCAGCAGUUACGGGAGGUGCGACGCUUCCUUCGUGGCAGUCCAGAAAAGGAGGCGGCCCAGACCUUCGCGUGGCUCCGGGGUGGUAGCACCAGCAGCGAGUGAGGGGUCCUCGGGACUCGUAACAGCACUAACUCCACCUGGUCCUGGUUUCUGUGACAGGCAAAAGCAGCUCUGCUGCUGUAACCUCUCUCCUGGUCCUGGAGUGAUCCCAUCCCGGCGGGAAGAGGCGGUCUUCCCGUUGCACCCCACCAUGCCUCCAAAUGACGUGGUUUGCAAUAGGGGUGAGAAGCGACGGCGCCGAGAGCUGCGGGUUGCAGCUGGGUGCAGCGGCCGCGGCACGGCCGACCCUCCGGGACGCCGCGGCCCCUCCGCUCCCCGAGCUCCUCCGAGCGACGGCAGAGCACGGCGCGCUGUCACCGUGCUGCGUGGAAGACGGCCCAAACGUGUCGGUUUUCCCGCGCGCCAGUCUGCUUCCAGCUUUUCCAAGGGAAGGUUUCCAUUAAGAUCAAGCACGUUCCCUUGCAGCGCAGAGACAUCUCAUCUCCGUGCGUUUCCUCUCUUCACAGCGUUUCCAGCCUGUAUUUUCUUCAGCGGCCACAUCUUGCGGGUUUGAUGCAUUUAGUGCAAUGUUACGUUUUAUUAUACAAACGUGUAAACACAGCAGUAAUGGGCUGUGCUGGUGAUGGUACGGCAGAAUGCAAACCAGACUAUACCCUCUGUGAACCGGUUUCGUUCACGCGGGAUAGGGCUCCUUCUGGACGUCCAGCACCCGUGAGCAGACGCUCUCGAAGUCCCCAGCGUUUCGUGCUGUUCAGGAGGCCCUCGGAGAAGCAGCGCGGAAUAAAAUCCUGUUCCGCUUUUAGGCGGGGGAAAUGUUUUCUUUCAUCUCUUGCAGUGGCAGAAUUGGUCCAUCAAGCACGGGAUCAAUGGCAAGCCAAAAGCUGCGUUUCAAACGUGACAGAGGCUUCUAAUAAAUCACCUUUCAUCUGGUUUCAUCAAAGGGUUUUCAAAGGUGCCUAAGAAUUACUGCAGCCAGAGCUGUGCCGGGGAAAAGCGGCCAGUUUCCAUGAGGAAUCUUGAAGAAAAGGGAAAAUCUCACCAUUUCCAAGUAGAGUUCAGAGUCUUCCCCGAUUUGUUGGAAACAAAACAAAAAGUGGACGCGACCCCGCAGCGAGCAGCAACGUCCCCCAAAGGGCACGCUGGUGCCCCGGCGGAGGAACCGGGCUGUCGCCCAGGGCUCUUGUGCCUUGCAGGAAUGAAAUUUUCUGUGGAAGUUGCAUCCCCAGGCCUUUUACUUCUGAAAAAUCCCGUGCUUUCUCUCUAGUGCUCUGCUUCUUGCUUGUUAUUGUUAUUUUCAGCAACGCAGGGAUUUUUCUCUUCUGAACUUUGGGGGUUUCAUGCUAAAUUAGCACUCUUAUAACGUUCUUUGGCAUCUCUUCUCCCUAAUUCCUCGGAUCACCUUACACGAACGCAGCCCUAAGAAGUCAUUAGCGCAAUCCGAGAUGGUACCGAGGCCGUUCGCUCCCCGCGGCAGCGCGGAGCAGGGACGGGCAGCCGCUGGUUAGGUUCGGGGUUUCCUUUAUUUCUUCUGAAAGGUGCUAAGUGGGAAUCCUGGAGGACGAGGCCGCCGGUCCCUGGGCGGAGGGCCGCACCUCGCUGCCGGGACUUCCUCGGAAAACGCCCUGGCUCUGGCAGCCGCUGCGCCCCGUUGCACCCGGACGCGGGCUGAAACGACGGGGAUGCAGGUGGGAGCGAGGGAGUCACCGUCCGCGCAGCAAAACACCGGCAGCUUUGCCGCGGCGCCUGUCGUAAUGAAUCAUGGCAGAGCAGUAAUCUCUCAUUAGAACAUUCAGCACUAAUUGCUGGCAGAAUGCCACGUGCCUAUUUUCUCAUUUUAACAAAACAUUUAUGCAUGAAAGAUUUAAUGCCAGGUAUCAAGCAUAUCAUUGUAAAUUUACCACUAAUUAAGCCUAAUUAAAAUAAUUAAAUGGC